rnacentral:lncRNA from 8 species
AUGAGAAUGCUGCAGCACAGGCGUGCUGAAGCGCGUGACACCAGUCCGGUGCCGUCUGCACUGGUUUCACGCAUCUGGCCUCCAGUGCGCCUCCCCAGUCCGAUACGUCCUGUGCCAUCUCCCCGCACUAGCCCUGAAGUGCGUGUCAGCAGUCUGGUGCAACCUGGACCGGCUCCACGCUUCUGGCCUCCAGUGCGCAUCCCCAGUCCGGUACGACCUGUGUCUCCUCCUCGCACUCGCACUGAAGUGCGUGUCCCCAGUCCGGUACGUCCUGUGCCUGCUCCCCGCACUCGCCCUGAAGAGCGUGUCACCAGUCCAGUGCAACCUGUGCCGGCCCCACGCAUCAGGCCUCCAGUGCACCUCCCCAGUAUGGUACGUCCUGUGCCUGCUCCUCGCAUUCGCCCUGAAGUGCGUGUCCCCAGUCUGGUACGUCCUGUGCCUGCUCCCCGCACUCGCCCUGAAGAGCAUGCCACCAGUCCGGUGAAACCUGUGCCGGCCCCACGCAUCAGGCCUCUAGUGCGCCUCCCCAGUCCGGUACGUCCUGUGCCUGCUCCCCGCACACGCCCUGAAGUGCGUGUCACCAGUCCGGUGCCACCUAUACCGGCUCCACGCACUAGGCCUCCAGUGCGCAUUCACAGUCCAGAGCUUCCAGCGACGGUCAACGGUCCGGAACCUCCAGCGAUGGUCAACAGUCCGGAUCCUUCAGCUACUGGAUGCUGUGCCUGGACUGGCCACUGGUGCAGAGGAAGGCUCCUGCCCUGGAGCUGGACUGGACGCUGUGCCUGGACGGCGACGGUCCACAGUCUGGAACCUCCAACAAUGGUCCACAGUCCAGAACCUCCAACGACGGUCCACAGUCCGGAACCUCCAGAGAUGGUCAACAGUCCAGAACCUCCAGCGACGGUCAACGGUCCGGAACCUCCAGCGACGGUCAACGGUCCGGAACAUCCAGCGACGGUCAACAGUCCGGAACCUCCAACGACGGUCAACGGUCCGGAACCUUCUGCGCCGGUGCUCAGUGCAGGAAUGGCGUCCAGUUCAGCUCCAGGGCAGAAGCCUUCCUCUGCGCCGGUGCCCAGUCCAGGCAUGGCGUCCAGCCCAGCUCCAUGGCCGGAGCCCUCCUUUGCACCAAUGCCCAGUUCUGGCACGGAGUUCAGCCCGGCGCGAUGGCCGGAUCCGGGGUCUGGGCGGGGGCUACAACCUGCACCGGAGCCGCCACCGACACUAAUCACCCCCCCCCCCCCCCCCCUCCCCAUUUGGUUUCAGGAUUUGCGGCCAGAGUCCGCACCUUUGGGGGGGGGGGGGGUACUGUCACGACCUGACCAUAGAGAGCCCUUGGUUCUCUAUGGUGUAGUAGGUAAGGGCGUGACUAGGGGGUGUUCUAGUUUAUCAUUUCUAUGUUGGUGCAAAUAUGGUUCCCAAUUAGAGGCAGCUGUUUAUCGUUGCCUCUGA